rnacentral:misc_RNA from 1 species
AGCAGAAAGACGCUUUGCUGAUUCCCGAUGUCGCAUUGGGGAGCGAUCAGGCCGGAAGAUAUGUCCUUGUGGUCAACAAAGAAAACGUCGUCGAGCAACGCAAGGUACAGACCGGGCCCCUCGAAGGCGAGCUGCGCGUGAUCGAGGGGGACUGAAGCCCGAUGAUCGUGUUGUGAUCGCCGGUUUGCUGCGAGCGAUCCCAGGUCAG